UUGCUAACUACAAGCUGAUGUGAUCCAUGCUCUGAAGAUCUCUGAAAAACUGAUUGCUGUUUAGUCAUAUUCACAAGUCUCUGCCUUUUGAAGACAGUUCUUAUUUUUCAAUAUAUCCUACACUACACUUCCACAUACUGGAAGGGAACUCAAGGAAAGCGAGGCGUGUCUGGAAACCUUGUGGUGUUGGCCCAAUGGGCACUGCUGGGGACCGGGGUCACCGGGUCACAGAGGAGAAAAGAUUGCUCAGGUGGGGCUAUUGGAGACUGGACCGUAGGAACCUGGGUUGGUAUCAAACCGGAAGUGACUGCAGCUACAGUAUAAGUGGAUGAGUUUACUGCAGGAAUGGAGGAAAACACUGUAACUGUGGAACCUUGCUUCUCUUGCUCAAUGUUGGACACCCGUUUAUCCAAGUUGCUGAGUUUAGAAUUUACUGAAGAUAAGGUAUCCGCGAAUGGUUGCAUGAAUGUUUUUAUUUAAUUAAAUCAGAGAAUGUUCCUGCUGAGUUUUGCUGACUGAAGUGGCUGCCUGCUGGCCUGAUGUGCUGGCUACGGGGUUAGCUUGUUCUGGGACAGACUGCUUGCUGUCUGAGCUGGGCCGAUAAACAGCCCAGCGCAGCUGGGGAGUUUCUUAGGUGGAAAAAUUGGUUCUGCCGAGAUGGAAUUACAAUAGAAAAUGAAAAAAGAUUCCCGAUUGCUCCCUGCUGGAAUCUCGCUGCUGUUUUUGAGGAGGAUCUUUAUGAGCUUGUGAAAGUCCAGUCCUUAAAGUACAGUCGCUCUGGAGGUGUAUCCUUGGCCCGGAGCCGUUGUGAUCGAUGGGGUUUAACUCCUUGGACGGCGGGUAGUGGUAUGCUGUCCUGCUCGGGAGGCACCUGUUCGGAUGUUAUUGAGAUGCCUGAUAGAGAGAAGAGUGGUGGGCUGACCAGAUAUUGGGUUGAAGCUGUCAAAGAUUGUUCUCUUCAGAGACCUCCGAAUCCGAGGAAGAGCUGUGCGGGUGAAAGAGGUACAUCUGUGAUGGCUGGAUUAUCUGGGAUAUCUGGACCCACUGGCACCAUGGACCAAGAGGUAUGAAAGGAAACAAAGGGGACCAAGGAGAUGAUGUGAGCAAACAUGUACAGAAUGCAGGAUGAGUGGGGUAAUUUUGGAAAUCCUGCAGUCCAAGGUACAAAGGUAAAUCUGAGUGGAUAGUCUAUUAUAGACUGAUGCUACUGUGUUUGUCAUCAUUAUUAAUAUAAUACUGUUCAUAUCCUGAAAUAUCAUCCAUAACUAUUAGACACUCAAUACUGCUGUAUUUAGAAAAACUAAAAUUUUAUGACAAACAACUAGAUUAGAAGUCUUUUGAUCAAGAUGCAUACCUAAAUAUGCAUGCUUACAAGCAGUUUUUGGCAGGCAGUUGCUUGCUAAGCUUUUAGGUUUUAUUUGGUUUCAUAGAUGCUUCCAACUGCUAAUAAAUAAAGAAGCGGCACAGAACACACAGUUCACGCAACAGUCAGUGAAUUAUCUGUGAUAGAAGACAUGUGCAUUUGCCAAAUGUAACUACACUUUAAAGGAAUGAUUACACUUUCCUAUGUUUUUACUACAAAUGUUUACCAUAGUAAAAGCAUAUUAAAGUGUGAUAAAGCACAGAAAGCAUGGUAAAACAUAGGUCAGCAUUGCAAAGAUCAUAUUACUGUGGUAAACUUUUAUAAGCAUAGAAUCAGUUUUCUUACCAGGUUUCAUUUUACUUUUAAUUUGGGAUAUAUACACACUUUUCAAGUAGAAUAUUACAAAAAAUGUACACUGUAACAUCCUGAUAUAUUCAAUUUUCUGUGCUGAAAAAAAAGACUGAUAGCACAGGACUUCACCCAGCACAGGAAGGUACCCAGAAGAAAAAGCUACAAUUUAAUUCAAUAUGUUGUCUUUGAAAUAUCUUCAUAUCCUGAAAUAAAGAAAAUCAAGAAGGCCAGAGGUUUUCUAUGAAACUGUUUUUCUAAGAAACUGUUUUUUCAAACAGUUUCGUAGAAGACUCCUCUUGUUUUAAUACAUCAAGUCCAAGUUCUCAUAGGAUAUGUCUGUGGCAAGUAGAAAAUGAACCAUUGAUGUCUAUCAGACUCUGGACAGUAGGAAGCAAAGUUUUAUAUCCCAUGAACUGUUUGAUUGUAUCUUCUUUAAAGGUGAGAAAGGAAUGAGAGGACCAGCAGGUGUCCAAGGGGUACAAGGAAGUCUGUGAUUUCAUCUGAAUGUGCCUCCUUAAGUUUCAAGGGAACACUGGACCUGCUGGUGCUCACAGACAUAAAGGCACUGCCAGUGAUAAUGGAGCUCCGGGUCCUCGGGGUGUCGCUGGUCUGAAGGGCCUGCAGGCACCUGGCCAGUCUACAAAGGUUGCUGGUGCGCGGUGAGUCGAGGACACCCUGGCUGACCUAAGCCCUCCCCACUCCGAGCGGUACGUGGCCAAUUGUGCGCCGCCCCCUGGGAACUCCCAUCCACGGCUGGCAGUGGAAUAGCCUUGACUCGAACCGACGACCUCCAGGCUAUAGGGCGCAUCCUGCAGUGCCUUUACUGGGUGCACCACUCGGGAGCCCCCAUGUCUGCAAAAUUCUUAAGGAAGAACAUGUAUACAAUCAUGUUGUACUGUACUGUACUGGUACAUACAUAUAUAUAUAUAUAUAUAUAAUCUGCAUCAAACACUAUUCUAGGUACCUAUAUGUGAAGCAGAAAAUAAGUGACACACACACAUUUGUGUGUGGUUCCUAUUGCAAUUACUUAAAUACUGUCUUUUGUACAACAAUUGUUGAGUUCUAGUGUUGAAUACCUUAUUCUCAUCAAUGCUACACAGUGCUACACAUUUAUUUAUUUAUUUAUUGAGUGGAUACUUUUUUUGGAAUCCUAUCUGUCUAUCCAAAGACUGUUCCAAAUGACGCUGUGUUGCUAAGCAGGUGCAGAGCUAGAUUUACGGAAAGUAAUUCUUGGAAUUUGGCUGUUUAAUAUAGGUUUAAACAUGCUUUAUGUUCUGUAAAUUGUACUUGUUUUAUAAACAGGAUACUCCAUGACUUCAUGGAGCACAUUGUUUAUGUCACUCAUGAGGGCAGCUGUAAGCAACCCACUCAACCCCUUUGGUGGCUUGUUAAUUAUUCUGCUAUCCUCAUUUGUGCAUUAACUACAGCUGUCCAUCAAGGUUCAUUAUGUAUCUUCUAUUAGUUACAUUCUUGAUAUUCUGCUAUUUCAGCAGCAAAAUUUGAUACAGUAUGUAGUUUUCAAGUUCACCACAGACAUGUGCAACACAGGCUAGAUCAGAAAAGGUAUCUGUUUAGAUUUAAGAGCGAGCACCAUCUGGUGAAUCAAGUUUCCUUUUGUACUACCUUUUUCGCACAGAAUUUUAAAGCAAUUGAAACAGAAUAUUUGAGGAAAUUCAAUAAGUACCAUUCAGAACGAUUGGAAACAUCACAAAGAGGCAGGAAGAUAGUAAACAUAUUUGAGUGACAUUUUAAGCUUUCAAUGUGAAAACUUCUAUUCAUUCUUCCAUACCACCACUAGAUGGCACUGUUGGUUCCACAAUGAAUAACACUUUUCUCAAUACUUUCAUAAUUUCAGUGAACUAAAUGUUCAACAGGCCUCAUUGGACCUCGAGGAGAAGCCGGCCCUGCCGGGACAGGGUGAGUACCAAUAUGUCACAGUAAAGGGAUUAUUGUGCUUGUGGAACCCCCCUCCAUAUUAAACACAAUAUUAAGGGAGACUUUAUAUUCCAUAUAUAUUUUCAUAAUAUUUAGAUACUUUAGAUUGUCUAAAGUAUUUUGGCAUUACAUAACUAAAUGCAAUCUCUAGGAAUAGAAUUUACAAAUAUUGUUUAAAUAAUUAAAAGUUUAUUUGUGUAACAUUUAAUGUGGGGUUCCACAUAUUAUUGCAGGGUCUAUUGGCCCCCUUAACCUCACUCUAAGAAGGCUCCGAGGUAGUGGUCGUAGCAGUAGUAAACACAUAAUUGAUGUAUUAACACUCCUUGUAGUUGUCCCAUUCUGACCUUUUUGUUAGGAAGAAGAUGGUGCUCCAGGACAAGGCACACAGGGGUACCCAGGCUUCCAGGUAAGAGGCAGGCAUUUCCACCCACACAUUAUCGCUUUCAUUUUAAUUUCGGAUGUCUUUCAACUGCAAUAGUGUUUAUACUAUAGGUCCUUUCUUUAUAAAAGUUGAUAUUUCAGCUUCAUCAAUUUGCCCAUGUUCCCUUUAAAUAUGUAUAUACAGUAAGUAUUUGUGGUAUAACCAACUUUUCAUGACAUUUAUUCAUGGUAUAAACAAGAUGUCAUGAAAAACCAUGAAUUACAGUAUUUAUGUCAUAGGCAGUAAACAGUGGAAGGGUAAGAAACUCGACCACAGGCUUGUUUGUUAUCGCAGCAUCUGCCCUUGACAUACAGUGCCUAUAGAAAGUCUUCACCCCCGUUCAAAAUGUUCACCUUUUGUUGCCUUAUAGCCUGGAAUUAAAAUACAUUAAAAUCGUUUUUUUUUUCAUUUAUCUACACAUCCUACCCCACAACUUCCAAGUGAAAAAAAUAUUCUAGAAAUUUGUAGAAAAUUAAUUACAAAUAAAAACUGAAAUAGCUUGGUUGGAUAAGUGUCCACCCCCCUUGUAAUAGCAAUCCUAAAUUAGCUCAGGUGUAACCAAUCGCCUUCAAAAUCACACACCAAGUGGCCUUCACUUGUGUUAAAUUGUAGUGAUUCACAUGAUUUCAGGAUAAAUUCAGCAGUUCCUGUAGGUUCCCUCUGCUGGGUAGUGCAUUUCAAAGCAACGACUCAACCAUGAGCACCAAGGCGCUUUCAAAAGAACUCCGGGACAAAGUUGUUGAAAGGCACAGAUCAGGGAAUGGGUAUAAAAAAAUAUCAAAGGCCUUGAAUAUCCCUUGGAGUAUGGUCAAGACGAUUAUUAAGAAGUGGAAGGUGUAUGGCACCACCAAGACCCUGUCUAGAUCAGGCUGUCCCUCCAAACUGGAUGACCGAGCAAGAAGGAGACUGAUCAGAGAGACUACCAAGAGGCCAAUGGCAACUUUGCAAGACCUACAGGCUUUUAUGGCCAAGACUAGUCAAAGUGUGCAUGUGACAACAAUAUCUCAAGCACUCCACAAAUCUGGCCUGUCUAUCCAAUCGAAAAUUUGUGGCAUGACUUGAAGAUUGCUGUCCAUCAACGCUCCCCAAGGAACUUGACUUAGCUUGAACAGUUUUGUAAAGAAGAAUGGUCAAAUAUUGCCAAAUCUAGGUGUGCAAAGUUGGUAGAGACCUAUCCCAACAGACUCACAGCUGUAAUUGCUGCCAAAGGUGCUUCCACCAAGUAUUAACUCAGGGGGGUGGAGACUUAUCCAAUUAUGAUCUUUCAGUUUUGUCUUUUUAAUAUAUCAUUUUUUUCUCAAUAAAAACUUUUUUCCCCUUAACAGUGUGGAGUAUGGUGUGUAGAUAAGUGGAAAAAAAUCCUCAUUUAAAUGCAUGAAACUCUGAGGCACUGACACAGCAAAAUGUGAAACAAGUUCAAGGGAGUGUAGACUUUCUAUAGGCACUGUACAUACCAUAAUUCAUGGUUUUUCAUGUCAUAUCCUCUAUUUAUCUAUUUUGUCCAUGUUCCCUUUGCCUCAGGUACUAAUAGCAGCUGUUUUCUAGUGGCACAGGACCAUAUUUCUUUUAAAUGUGUAAUACAAAUGUUGUUGUUGUUGUUAUUAUUAUUAUUAUUAUUAUUAUUAUUAUUAUUAUUAUUAUUAUUAUUAUUAUUUGUGCUUGCCAGGAAGCCCCUUGUCUAUGUGUCUUCAUGUGAUUUUCUCAAGCAGCAAGAGCUGUUGAGUAAAAUUCAAACCGGUAGUACGAGAAAUUUGCCUGAGAAGGUGUAUCGUAUAUUAUUAUUUAUUUAUUUAUUUAUUUAUUUAUUUAUUUCUUAGCAGACGCCCUUACCCAGGGCGACUUACAGUUGUAUUGAAAAAAUACAUAUCAAGAAUUUCAGUACAAUUAAGAGCAAGAUAAAAAAAAUACAAUGACUUAAGUCCUAAUAAGAGCAAAUACAAAACACAAUACUAUUUGAGAUCGAGCAGUUCAAGAGCAGAUAAGUGUUGAUAGUUACAUCAGGGUUAAAUACUACAGAUUGGGUUGAGUGCAGGAUUAAAUACAGUAAAAUAGGGAGCAGAUAAGUGCAAGUUAAAGUGCAUUAAAGGCAGAGUGCUAUAUUGUCCAGAAGGGAAGAGUUGAGUUUUACAGGUGUCUGAAAAGGUGCGUCUUGAGGAGGCGCCGGAAGGUGGUCAGGGACUGGGCAGUCCUGACAUCCAUAGGAAGGUCGUUCCACCACUGUGGUACGAGAGUGGAGAAGGAGCGGUCUCUGGAGGCAGGGGAGCGAAAAUGAGGUACAGCCAGUAUUCUAGUGCAGGCGGAACGGAGAGGUCGGGUGGGGGUGUAGGGAGAGGGGGGUCUGGAGGUAGCUGGGUGCAGUCUGGUCAAGGCAUCGGUAGGCGAGUACAAGAGUCUUGAACUGAAUGCGAGCGGUGAUCGGGAGCCAGUGGAGUGAACGGAGUAGUGGGAGAAGUGAGGCAGAGAGAACACCAGGCGAGCAGCGGAGUUCUGGAUGAGCUGGAGCGGACAGGUGGCAGACACAGGGAUGCCGGUCAGGAGGUAGUUGCAGUUGUCUAGACUAGAGAUUAUCAGGGCCUGGACAAGGAGUUGCGUGGAGUAGUUGGCGAGUAAUGGUCGGAUUCUUCGUAUGUUGCUCAGGAAGAAAUAGCAGGUGCAUGCUAGAGUGGAGAUGUGUUGGGAGUAGGAGAGGCAGGGGUCCAAGGUUACUCCAAGGUUCUUGGCUGAGGAGGAGGGAGAGAGCGUGGUAGAUUCCAGAGGAAUGGAGAUAGACAGAUCAGAGGAGGGGAAAGAUGAAGAGGGGAAGAAAAAGUCAGAUUUAGAGAGGUUGAGUUUGAGGUUAUGUGAGUGCAUCCAGGAGGAGAUAGCAAACAGGUAGAGAUACGGAAGGGAGAAUACGGAAGGGAGAAACCAUAGAAUGAGAUGAGGGGGCCCAGGGAGCUGGUGUAGCGAGAGAACAGGAGAGGACCCAAAACUGAUCCUUGGGGGACUCCUGUUGAGAUAGGGUGAGGUGUGGAGGUUGAGCCACACCAGGUUACCUGGUAAGUGCGGUUGGAGAGGUAGGAGGAGAACCAGCCCAGAGCAGUGCCAGAGAUCCCCAGGUCAGCAAGAGAUGAUAGUAGAAUAGAGUGAUCAACAGUGUCAAAGGCAGCAGAGAGGUCGAGGAGAAUUAGGACAGAGAAGAGAGAGGCAGCUCAGGCAGACUUUAGUGAGUUGGUGACAGACAGGAGGGUGGUUUCAGUGGAGUGAGCAGAGCGGAAGCCAGAUUGGAGAGGGUCGAGCAGAGAGUGGUUGGACAGGAAAGCAGAGAGCUGGCAGUGUACAGUCCGCUCAAGGGUUUUGGAGAGGAAGGGUAGGAGGGAGACAGGACAGUAGCUCUGGAGGGAGGUGGGGUCAAGGGUAGGUUUUUUGAGGAGGGGAGUGAUAGAGGUUUUUUGAAGGCAGAGGGAAAGAGACCAGAAAGGAGAGAGGUGUUGAGGAGGGAGGAGAUGAAGGGGAGUAGAGCAGGAGCAGCAGCUUGAAAGAGGUGAGUGGGGAGGGGGUCCAAGGCACACGUGGUGGGUUUGUGGCCCUGGAGGAAGGAGGAGAGGUCAGAGUCUGAGAGGGGAGAGAAGGAGGAGAAAGAGAGUG